UACGUAGGGUGCGAGCGUUGCCCGGACUUAUUGGGCGUAAAGGGCGCGUAGGCGGUCACGCACGUCCGUUGUGAAAUCGCUCGGCUCAACUGGGCGGGGUCAGCGGAUACGGCGUGGCUGGAGCAAGCUAGGGGGCAAUGGAAUUCCCGGUGUAGUGGUGGAAUGCGUAGAUAUCGGGAGGAACACCAGUGGCGAAGGCGGUUGCCUGGAGCUUUGCUGACGCUGAUGCGCGAAAGCGUGGGGAGCGAUCCGG
rnacentral:rRNA from 1 species